AUCCAGUUGACGAGUCCCAAAUAGGACGAAACGUACAUCCUGAAU
rnacentral:hammerhead_ribozyme from 1 species